GAUGAACGCUGGCGGUAUGCUUAACACAUGCAAGUCGAACGGACUCUUCGGAGUUAGUGGCGGACGGGUGAGUAACGCGUGAGAAUCUGGCUUUGGGUUCGGGACAACCACUGGAAACGGUGGCUAAUACCGGAUGUGCCGAGAGGUAAAAGAGAAAUUGCCUGAAGAUGAGCUCGCGUCUGAUUAGCUAGUUGGUGAGGUAAAGGCUCACCAAGGCAGCGAUCAGUAGCUGGUCUGAGAGGAUGACCAGCCACACUGGGACUGAGACACGGCCCAGACUCCUACGGGAGGCAGCAGUGGGGAAUGUUCCGCAAUGGGCGAAAGCCUGACGGAGCAAUACCGCGUGAGGGAAGAAGGCUCUUGGGUUGUAAACCUCUUUUCUUAGGGAAGAACAAAAUGACGGUACCUAAGGAAUCAGCAUCGGCUAACUCCGUG
rnacentral:rRNA from 1 species